CCAAGGACCUCAGGGAACGCGGUUCUUAAGCCUGCGGGUUGCACCUCUACUUAGCGUCAUUUUGUAGCUGUCAGGGGCGGAGCCUAUGAAAAAACCACAACGGCCUUUACAGUUCUGCCUUUUUGACUGACUGAGUGCCAGCAGCCGCGGGUGGGGCAGAUGAUUGGGGUGAAGUCGUAACAAGGUAACCUCAGUCAGUCAAGUCGUAACAAGGUAACCUCAGUCAGUCAAGUCGUAACAAGGUAACCUCAGUCAGUCAAGUCGUAACAAGG
rnacentral:rRNA from 1 species